rnacentral:rRNA from 1 species
ACGGAGGGUGCAAGCGUUAUCCGGAUUUAUUGGGUUUAAAGGGUCCGUAGGCGGGCCGAUAAGUCAGUGGUGAAAGCCCAUAGCUCAACUAUGGAACUGCCAUUGAAACUGUCGGUCUUGAGUAUAUGUGAUGUUGGCGGAAUGUGUAGUGUAGCGGUGAAAUGCUUAGAUAUUACACAGAACACCGAUUGCGAAGGCAGCUGACAAAUAUAUAACUGACGCUGAGGGACGAAAGUGUGGGGAUCAAACAGG